rnacentral:tRNA from 1 species
GCCCACGUGGCUCAAUUGGUAGAGCAGCGGUAUCGUAAACCGCAGGUUGUCAGUUCAAGUCUGACCGUGGGCU